UAGAAAGCGCCGGUACAGGGGAACGGAACAGCUGAGGCGAAGCUCCCAUUGCGGCCAGGCGAUCCGGUCAGAUUUUUUUGUGGAUUUUCGAUUUCUGUCUGUGUGAUGAAGUUCUUCCGCUCAGUUUGUUUCCUAUUGCUGUGAAUCUCGUGUUCUAAUCUGGGGGGAUUUGGUGAUUUUGGUGCGUUUGAAAGCAGAGCACCUAAUGUUUCCCGGGUGAUUUUCUCAGGUUUUUGGUGGGGCUGGAAUCUAGGAUCACUGCUACUUGUUUUGAUCUAGUAAUCCAGCUGAGGCGAAGCUCCCGUUGCGGCUCACGCAAUUCCAUCGGAGUUUUUUCUUGUGGAUUUUCGAUUUGUGUCUGUGUGACCAAGUUCAUCCGCUCAGUUUUUGUUUCGUGUGUGCUGUGAAUCUCGUGCUCUAAUCUGGGGGGAUUCGGCGAUUUUGGUGCGUUUGAAUCAUAGCAGAGCCUCCGAUGUGUUCCCGGGUGAUUUCUCAGGUUUUUUGGUGGGGCUAAAGUCUGGUGUCACUGCUACUUGUUUUGAUCUUGUAAUCCCGAUUUUGGUGCGUUUCAAUCACAUGAAAGCAAACAAAUGAUUUCGCUGAUUUUUCCUCCCCCCAUAGAUGAUCUAGUUCUAUGAUCUGCGAAGCUGUACGGGUGUGCGAUCUAUUGGAUUGUGUCAAUUGGAGGUACCUCCUGGGGGUUUGUUUGCUACUGGGGCCAUCUAUGGCUGGAGCUUGAGGUUUCCUCUUGCGUGUGUAUUGGUGCUGCGACACAAGGUGGGAUCUGAGAACAAGUGUGUGUUGGUGAAGGGGAGUGCCAACCUGGUGCCCGGAGAAGGCAACUAGGGCCUGGGUGUAGCUGCAGCCUCAGACCUGGAAGGGCUGGUGCUAUUGUUGUUACAGUGCAUUUAGACACCUAAUUCUAUGGAUAAUGUCACUGUAAGUUUUGAAUAAUGGUUAUGUAAAUUUAAUAAAUUAGGGGUAACUACAUGUGUUCUAUUAUUUUUGGAAGUUACAAUCAGUCGGUAUCGCCAUUUUAUAGUGCAAGUUUUUAGACUAUAAAGUGAUUGCUAACAUUUUAGAGUUACCAAUCGUUUUAUAUUUGUAUCUCGCUUCAUUCAAAUGUCCGAGUUAGUAUAUACUCUCACGGAGUCUAUGCUUACUUUUUUGUCCUUUUGUGUUUUUGCUUAAUAUGCUAGAUGGGUCGAAAGAGAGUGUUCGAGUCAUUUGUUCCAUCAGACAGCGAAGAUUCUGAUGAUGGUGACCUAAAAGAACAUAAACAUCACGAUGCUACUUGGGGCAAUGAAGAAUUGACAGUGACUGAUUCAUCCGAAGGAGUUCCAUCUGAUGACCAAAAUUCAAGUGAUAGUGAUGGUAUAAACAAGCAAUGUACGCAUUGUAUGUUCGUGAGCGCGCCAAUCUCAAGAAGUUGAAGUUGAAGGUUGCAAAAUCAUUGCAUCAUGAUCUGCUCUUGAUGACCAUCAGAAAAGCUGUAAUCAAGAAAUAUGGUGUAGGAGCAUUAUUGGAGUUCAGCAAAUGUUAUGUGCCUAACAAGGUCGCUAAGUGGCUUGCUCGACAGGUUAAUUGGAAGUCUCGUGAUAUCGUCUUCAAGGAUAAGGUGAUACCUUUGACUGUUGAAACAGUUCACUUCUUGGGUUGCCUAUGGGUGGCUUCCCUUUCCCUUCUGAUAACAAUACUUGAAAGGCAAACAUAUUGGCUAAGUUUGACAAGUCAUCCAUGCUGCAAGUUCAUUUCUUUGCUAACAAGUUGAUCAACAAAGAACCCAUGUCUGAUGAAGAUAUAAUGUGUUACUGAUUUAAUUCCAGUGUGUUAGUGAUGUAAUUACAGUGUGUUA